UAAAAGUCGUAACAAGGUUUCCGUAGGUGAACCUGCGGAAGGAUCAUUG
rnacentral:rRNA from 3 species